GCGUCUGUAGCCUAGUGGCAAAGGCAGCACUCUAGCACACUGAGGUCAUGGGUUCGAAUCCCAUCAGACACA
rnacentral:tRNA from 1 species